CCUACGGGUUGCAGCAGUGGGGAAUAUUGCACAAUGGGCGCAAGCCUGAUGCAGCCAUGCCGCGUGUAUGAGGAAGGCCUUAGGGUUGUAAAGUACUUUCAGUUGGGAGGAAGGCGUUGAUGCUAAUAUCAUCAACGAUUGACGUUACCAACAGAAGAAGCACCGGCUAACUCCGUGCCAGCAGCCGCGGUAAUACGGAGGGUGCAAGCGUUAAUCGGAAUUACUGGGCGUAAAGCGCACGCAGGCGGUUGAUUAAGUUAGAUGUGAAAUCCCCGGGCUUAACCUGGGAAUGGCAUCUAAGACUGGUCAGCUAGAGUCUUGUAGAGGGGGGGUAGAAUUCCAUGUGUAGCGGUGAAAUGCGUAGAGAUGUGGAGGAAUACCGGUGGCGAAGGCGGCCCCCUGGACAAGGACUGACGCUCAGGUGCGAAGGCGUGGGGAGCAAACAGGAUUAGAUACCCGUGUAG
rnacentral:rRNA from 1 species